rfam:Myotis brandtii contig165711, whole genome shotgun sequence.
AUACUUACCUGACAAGGGAGAUUCCAUGAUCGAGAAGGCGAUUUUCCCGGGGAGAGGCUUAUCCGUUGCACUCUCGAAGUGCUGGCCCCUGUGAUUCCCCAGAUGUGGGAGACUCAGCUGCAUAAUCUGUGGCAGUGGGGACGGUGUUCGAGCUCUGCCCUG